rnacentral:ncRNA from 1 species
UUUUCGGAGAGUUUGAUCCUGGCUCAGAAUGAACGCUGGCGGCGUGGUUAAGACAUGCAAGUCGAACGGUUUUUCAGGUGUAGCAAUACAUUGGAAAGCAGUGGCGAACGGGUGCGUAACACGUGAACAAUCUACCUUUUAGUGGGGAAUAGCUCGUCGAAAGGCGAAUUAAUACCGCAUACGAUUAUGGCUCUCAUGAGUUGUAUAUUAAAGUCGGGGACCGCAAGGCCGACGCUAGGAGAGGAGUUCGCGGCCUAUCAGCUAGUUGGUGAGGUAACGGCCCACCAAGGCUAAGACGGGUAG